UACAGAGGGUGCGAGCGUUAAUCGGAAUUACUGGGCGUAAAGCGCACGUAGUCGGCUUUGCAAGUCGGGUGUGAAAUCCCCGGGCUCAACCUGGGAACUGCAUCCGAGACUGCAUUGCUAGAGUAUGGGAGAGGGAAGCGGAAUUUCUGGUGUAGCAGUGAAAUGCGUAGAUAUCAGAAGGAACAGCAGUGGCGAAGGCGGCUUCCUGGACCAAUACUGACGAUCAGGUGCGAAAGCGUGGGGAGCAAACAGG
rnacentral:rRNA from 1 species